rnacentral:lncRNA from 1 species
UGCUUGGCAAUUUUGGUGAUGUGAGAAGAGAUAAGGAGAGUACCUUUUUGAGUAUUUCCAAGGUGAAGGGGAUGAUUAAGAAAGAAUUUUGAAGUUAGGAUCUUCUUACCAUUGAUCAUUAUAUAGAGGAAGAGAAGGUUUUUUGAGGCACUUUAUCACCCCAUUGUCUUUAGCAUGAAUAUUCGAAGCCACCAUCCUAUGCGCUAUCCAAU